AACGAACGCUGGCGGCGCGCUUAACACAUGCAAGUCGCGCGCGGGGUUUCGGCCCCGAGCGGCGCACGGGUGAGUAACGCGUGGGAACCUGCCCCGGGGUUCGGGAUAACGGCGGGAAACCGCCGCUAACACCGGAUACGGCCGCGUGAGCGGCGAAAGCUUGCGCCCCGGGAUGGGCCCGCGUCCGAUUAGCUGGUUGGUGGGGUAACGGCCCACCAAGGCUUCGAUCGGUAGCCGGUCUGAGAGGAUGAUCGGCCACACUGGGACUGAGACACGGCCCAGACUCCUACGGGAGGCAGCAGUGGGGAAUCUUGGACAAUGGGGGCAACCCUGAUCCAGCGACGCCGCGUGGGUGAUGAAGGCCUUCGGGUUGUAAAGCCCUUUUGCCGGGGACGAUGAUGACGGUACCCGGCGAAUAAGCACCGGCUAACUCCGUGCCAGCCGCCGC
rnacentral:rRNA from 1 species